rnacentral:rRNA from 1 species
ACAAGGUGUGGAGCCUGCGGCUUAAUUUGACUCAACACGGGUAAACUCACCCGGCCCGGACACAGGAAGGAUUGACAGAUUGAGAGCUCUUUCUUGAUUCUGUGGGUGGUGGUGCAUGGCCGCUCUUAGUUGGUGGAGCGAUUUGUCUGGUUAAUUCCGUUAACGAACGAGACUCUAGCCUACUAAAUAGACGUUCCGAUCCUCCGAGUCGGACGUUCUUCUUAGAGGGACGGGCGGCGAUUAGCCGCACGAAACAGAGCAAUAGCAGGUCUGUGAUGCCCUUUGAUGUCCGGGGCCGCACGCGCGCUACAUUGAAGGAACCAGCGUGUGCUUUCCCUGUCCGACAGGACUGGGUAACCCGUUGAACCUCCUUCGUGCUGGGGAUAGCAAAUUGUAAUUAUUUUGCUUGAACGAGGAACACCCAGUAAGCACGAGUCAUCAGCUCGUGUUGACUAUGUCCCUGGCCUUUGUUCACACCGCCCGUCGCUACUACCGAUUGAAUGAUUUAGUGAGGUCUUCRGACUGGMRCUCGGAUUGGCUUUCGGGUCGAGCCGACGUGCCGGAAAGAUGACCAAACUUGAUCAUUUAGAGGAAGUA